rnacentral:lncRNA from 1 species
AUGUUUGUAAUUACUAUUAUUUUUACAAUUUUAUCCUUUAAGAAAAAGGGUUGGCUUAUAUUUUCAACAUUCUAUUUAUUGCUGAUUGAAGAAAAAGAUGUAUAAUAAAUAGGGGAAUGUAUGUAAAGAAAUAAUUAAUAUAGUUCGAAAUAGAAAAGGGGUCUUAUAAAAAGGGACAAAAACAUUCUCAAAAGAAUCUUAUAAUUAAGGACGGAGGUAACAUUUAUUUACAUUUUCCUUAAGAAAAUAUCAUUGCUUUUUUAACCUUUCAUGAUAGUAAAGCGAAAAUAUGUUAUUUGAACCAUGGUAAAGUUAUCAAUAAAUUAGAAUUUAUUCUAAUAUCAAUUUAUUUAUUUUAUUUAAUCAUUAGAUCAUAAAGAAUGUGAAACAUUUGCUAAACAUGUGUGUCUGAAUACGAAAAUACUAUUAUAUACAUGAGAUUUCACAAUUAAGAGAAUUAAUUAUGAAAGGAAUAUGCCAUGCUAGGAGGCCAAGUGAAUAACUUUGGUAAUUUUCGGAUUUUACUUGUUUCUGACCCAUUCUCUUUAAAACAGCCAUAAGUUGGGAUGUCCUUUACCGAUCGGAGCUCGUGAACAUUCGUUGGAAAGCUAACAAGCAUACCUAGAGCCUAGGUUUAGGGGUUUAGGGUUUAGGGAAAUGGCAAAGGCAAAGAUGUUGCCAAGCCAUCAACCAAAGCUUUGAAGCCUACUGGAGGCGUGGCUAAGGAUGGUAAGUGCUUCUAUUGCAACAACACUGGGCAUUGGAAGCGAAACUGUCCAAAGUAUCUGGAAGAUAAGAAGAAUGGAAAUGUUCCUACUACUUCUGCAGGGUCUGAGAAAGAGUAGAGCAUUGGCAAAAGGCGAGGUCAAUCUUAGAGUUGGCAAUGGAGCAAAGGUUGCUGAUUUAGCUGUUGGAACUUAUGUAUUGACCUUACCUAGUGGUCUUUUACUUAAUUUAGAAAACUGCUAUUAUGUACCUGCCAUUAGCAGGAAUAUUAUUUCAAUUUCUUGUUUGGACAAGGCUGGUUUUUAUUUUACAAUAAAGAACAAAUGUUGUUC